GAUAGGUCAAGUUUUGGACUGUAAGGGUUGUUUUUCUUGACAUUAUUAGAGGUUAAAUUUGAUGACUCGAUUUCUUUCAUAGUUUGAUAUUUUAGGAAUUUGGCCAUAUCACGAAUAUGAGUUUUUUUUUAAAAAAGGGGCAGCAUACGUUUUCGAUGUAAAAAUUGAAUUUGUUGAACUGAUGUUGCAAUCUUUUCAUGUAUAUGUUGCUGUAACAACUACAGUUUAACUAAUAUUCAUGUUUUUACUUUCCUUUCCUUUUCUGUCAUGACUUGAACAUGGUCUUGGUGUAUAACAUUGAUUAGAAAUCACGUUAGAGAAUUCUUUUACGGUUUUAAGUUCACCAUCAAUGCUUUGUUUGGAUCAAAGAAUGGAUACUAUGUGCAUGAUUGUAAGUUACAUUACCUAGACUUAUAAUUUGAGUAACCUCCUUUGCAAGUUUGUGGUUUUUUUUUAUGUAACUUGUAGUUUUGCAAGUCAUUUUUGUCAACAUUACUUUUUAUUCAUAGCUUGUCAUCUAGGUAUGUUUUAUGAAUAUUUCAUUUAGCUCGAAGUGACGUUUCUUUUGUAUUAGGCGGGAAAAGGCGAAAUUUGGUUUCUCACUUGAACUUAUGUAGUUAAAAAGGACUUUGGAGAGAAAGGAGUUUCAAGAUUAAAUAUUUGUCUCUCGUCUUCAAUAUUUCUAACCUUAUUCGGAUUCUCAAAAUAACAGAGCCAUUUGAUUGUUCUAUUUAUCUUUGUUUAAACCCUUUCUUUUUUUUUUUUCUUUUUUUGAAUGUGUAUUUAUAAAGUUGUGUUUGUCUAUUUUGAAAAAUAAAAACAGCACGUGGACUAUAUAGAAAGGAUUGAGAAAUUCCAAAGCAGAGUAAUACUUUAGAUUAGUCAAGUAUGUAAGCACGGUAUAAUUUAAGGUUCUGCUUAUGCUUGUUCUACAUAGUUUUCAAAAAAAAAAAUCAGCUUGUGGUAUGUUAUGAUUUUUUGUAAGAGGAAAAGUUUAUUUUGAUUUUCUGAAGGAGAGGUGAACAUUAAUCAUUAUUCCUUUUUGAUAAUGUUGUGAUAAGGAUAAAAGGAAAGUUUUGUUUAGUCAAUAAGCAUGUAUGGUGAAGUUUGGUCGAGAUUAUAUGCGUAAGGUAUAUGUAAAGUGGUAGCAUCAUAUCUUUGAAUAUAUCACAGCUUCUAAUCCUGCUAUAAGUCAUCUUGAUUUUUGUCUAUUUGCAUUUGGAAGAGUUUUUUUUUUCUAAAAAAGGAGGCUUAACUUGUCAUUUUCAAAAUGUCUAUCAAGAAACUGUGUUGGAUACAUUCUCAUGGUUGACUUGGACCCAUCUUACAAUUUAGCAAAAGUGUGUAAAAGUUUGGUUGAGUACUUUUCUCCUGGGCAAAAUUGGGCAAAAUAGCUCGGUAAACUCUUGUACUUGGUCUGUUUUGUAAAAUGGAUACUUCUACUUAACAAUUUGUCAUCUGAACCCUCAACUCAAUGAAAUAAAAUAGCUUGGUAGACUCUUGUAUACUUGGUCUGUUUUGUAAAAUGGAUACUUCUACUUAACAAUUUGUUAUCUGAAUUCCUCAACUCAAUGAAACUCAAUAUUGUAAGACCUUUGACCGUUGACCGGAUCUAUGUGGCAUUAAAAUAGGUGAGUAGGACGAAAUGCGUGACUGCACGCGCCUGAGGUGCGAGUGAGGGUGUUUUUUUGAUAUUCUUACAUUAAAACUAUUUUAAAAAAUUAAAAAAAAAAGAAGGAACAACAAGCCAGCCCCACCCCCUCCCACCCCACCCCACAAACCACCAUUGCAGCAUCUCAUCAUCUCCAUUGAAAAAGAAAGAAAAAGCCAGCCUCUUCCUCUCUGUCAAAGGUUCCGGCAUCUCAUCAUCCUCCUCCAGCAUCCUCGUCGACAAUUUCACCCCUAAUAAAACUCCAAGCUCUUGUCUCUAACAAAAUCCGGCUGCUGCAAAAACACCCACAAUCGUCCUCUCCCCUCCGCCCCUCCCUCCAACCCCACCCCACCCCACAAACCACCAUUGCAGCCCCUAAAAGCUCCCGUAAUCAUCCUCCCUCCGCCCUCCAAUUGCGACGCCAUUAAAGACCCUCACCUCCAAACUCCCCAAUCGCCCUCCUCCGCUGCAAUUGCCACCAUUAAACCAAACAAUUCAAUAAAAUACCCUCACAAAGACACUCCAAUACAUACAUCACUCGCAUACAAUGGAGAGAGAUCCUCUCCAUCAUCAUACAAACUAUUUACACACACCCACACACUAAUACAGAAAAGAUACACUACACAUACAUAGAAAACAAAAAGACAGAGAGACGGGAGAAAGAGUGAAAAAUGGAGACAACUGAAACACAGGGAGUGGGAGGAGGCUGGUUCUUGAUGGAGGUUUAUAGCGGGUUCUGGCGAGUUCUUGCCGGAAGUCUUUCUCUCUUGUCGUUCCUUUAUGUUUUUUGUGUUUCAGUUUUAAAAAUGAAAAUAUUAAUAAUUAAAAAGGUGAAUUUUAGAUGAAUUUUUUUUUAAAGGGUGAAUUAAAAAUGAAAAAUUUAAAGAGUUGAUUUUUUUUAAUUUACUUUCUCAAUUUAAAUUUAUUUAAUAUUUAAUUUUUUAUGUGGUAUUUUAAAAAUGAUGUGGAAUUUAAUGUAAUAUUUAAAAAUGACGUGGA
rnacentral:lncRNA from 1 species